GACGAACGCUGGCGGGCGUGCCUAACACAUGCAAGUCGAGCGAGAGCCGGAUGUCAGCUUUAAAAGGUUGGCAUUAGGUGAAAGCGGCGAACGGGUGAGUAACGCGUGGGCAACCUACCCUGUACAGCGGGAUAACAUUGGGAAACCGGUGCUAAUACCGCAUGAAGCAUACGAGUGGCAUCGCUUGUAUGUUAAAGGGGGAACCCGGUACGGGAUGGGCCCGCGUCCAAUUAGCUAGUUGGUGAGGUAACGGCUCACCAAGGCGACGAUUGGUAGCCGAGCUGAGAGGUUGGUCGGCCACAUUGGGACUGAGACACGGCCCAGACUCCUACGGGAGGCAGCAGUGGGGAAUAUUGCGCAAUGGGGGGAACCCUGACGCAGCGACGCCGCGUGAAGGAAGAAGGUCUUCGGAUCGUAAACUUCUUUGACUGGGGAAGAAAGGAAUGACGGUACCCAGGGAACAAGCCACGGCUAACUACGUG
rnacentral:rRNA from 1 species